rnacentral:rRNA from 1 species
CAUGCUGAAUAUACCGGUUCUCGUUAGAUCACCGAAGUCAAGCAUCAUUGGGCGCGGUCAGUACUUGGGUGGGUGGCCACCUGGGAACACUGCGUGCCGUU